AAGCCCCAGUAAACGGCGGCCGUAACUAUAACGGUCCUAAGGUAGCGAAAUUCCUUGUCGGGUAAGUUCCGACCCGCACGAAAGGCGUAACGAUUUGGGCACUGUCUCAACAACAGACUCGGUGAAAUUGUAAUACCGGUGAAGAUGCCGGUUACCUGCGACAGGACGGAAAGACCCCAUGGAGCUUUACUGUAGCUUGACAUUGAGUCUCGGUGCUACAUGUACAGGAUAGGUGGGAGACUAUGAAGCAUGGACGUCAGUCUGUGUGGAGUCAUCCUUGGGAUACCACCCUUGUAGUACUGGGAUUCUAACCAGAGGCCAUGAAUCUGGUCUUGGGACACUGUCAGGUGGACAGUUUGACUGGGGCGGUCGCCUCCCAAAAAGUAACGGAGGCGCUCAAAGGUUCUCUCAGUACGGUCGGAAAUCGUACGAAGAGUGUAAAGGCAAAAGAGAGCUUGAUUGCAAGACAUACAGGUCGAGCAAGGACGAAAGUCGGACUUAGUGAUCCGGUGGUUCCGCAUGGAAGGGCCAUCGCUCAACGGAUAAAAGCUACCCUGGGGAUAACAGGCUGAUCUCCCCCAAGAGUCCACAUCGACGGGGAGGUUUGGCACCUCGAUGUCGGCUCAUCACAUCCUGGGGCUGUAGUAGGUCCCAAGGGUUGGGCUGUUCGCCCAUUAAAGUGGUACGCGAGCUGGGUUCAGAACGUCGUGAGACAGUUCGGUCCCUAUCCGUCGCAGGCGUAGGAAAUUUGAGGAGACCUGUCCUUAGUACGAGAGGACCGGGAUGGACGUACCGCUGGUGUACCAGUUGUUCUGCCAAGGGCAUGGCUGGGUAGCUAAGUACGGAAAGGAUAAGCGCUGAAAGCAUCUAAGCGCGAAGCCCACUUCAAGAUAAGAUUUCCCACCGCAAGGUUAAGAUCCCAGGAAGACUACCUGGUUGAUAGGUCAGAGGUGUAAGUGCAGUAAUGUAUUUAGCUUACUGAUACUAAUAGAUCGAGGACUUGACCAA
rnacentral:rRNA from 2 species